rnacentral:rRNA from 1 species
UAAGGAAUAUUGGUCAAUGGACGCAAGUCUGAACCAGCCAUGCCGCGUGGAGGAUGAAGGCCCUCUGGGUUGUAAACUUCUUUUAUUGGGGAAGAAACCUGUUUUUUCUAAAGCAGUUGACGGUACCCGAUGAAUAAGCACCGGCUAACUCCGUGCCAGCAGCCGCGGUAAUACGGAGGGUGCAAGCGUUAUCCGGAUUCACUGGGUUUAAAGGGUGCGUAGGUGGGCAGGUAAGUCAGUGGUGAAAUCUCUGGGCUUAACCCGGAAACUGCCGUUGAUACUAUCUGUCUUGAAUGUAGUGGAGGUGAGCGGAAUAUGUCAUGUAGCGGUGAAAUGCUUAGAUAUGACAUAGAACAUCGAUUGCGAAGGCAGCUCGCUACACUAUUAUUGACACUGAGGCACGAAAGCGUGGGGAUCAAACAGGAUUAGAUACCCCUGUAGUCC